GGGCUCUCCAUACAGUCUUUUAAAGAGGCUGCGCCAGUCUGCAUUCCUACCAGCAGUGAAGCGAGUUGUCUUUUUCUCCAACACCUACCCUUUCCUGGUUUGUUGAUAGAAGCCCUUCUCUCAGAUGAAUUUGAAGAAUUUCCAGGACACGGUUCUCUGAGUGGAUAGUCUGAAUAAAGACACCAGGUUCCAGAUGCUACCAUGAUGCCAAUCUGACUUCCCUGGGCAGAUGAUCCCACCAAUGUGUCCUGGAACCCCGCCUCCCCAGAGCCCUACCCCACUAGGGAAAGAGAGAGAGACAGGCUGGGAAUAUGGAUCGACCUGCCAACACCCAUGUUCAGCGGGGAAGCAAUUACAGAAGCCAGACCUUCAACCUUCUGCACCCCAUAAUGAUCCUGAGUCCAUACUCUCAGAGGGAUAAUGAAUAGGAACGCUUUUGGGGGUUGGUGGGGGAUGGGAUAGGGAGUUCCGGUGUGUGGAAUUGUACCCCUCUCUUAUCCUAUGGUCUUGUCAAUAUCUCCAUUUUAUAAAUUAAAAAAAUUUAA